rnacentral:rRNA from 1 species
UACGGGGGGAGCAAGCGUUGUUCGGAUUUACUGGGCGUAAAGGGCGCGUAGGCGGUCAGCACAAGUCAGUUGUGAAAUCUCCGGGCUUAACUCGGAAAGGUCAACUGAUACUGUGCGACUAGAGUGCAGAAGGGACAACUGGAAUUCUCGGUGUAGCGGUGAAAUGCGUAGAUAUCGAGAGGAACACCUGCGGCGAAGGCGGGUUGCUGGGCUGACACUGACGCUGAUGCGCGAAAGCCAGGGGAGCGAACGGG